GCGGCGGUAGUCUAGUCUGGUAGGACACAACCCUGCCACGGUUGAGACCCGGGCAGCAACCAGCAUUAUCCUAAUUGUUGGUUGCUAGGGAUUUCAAAACCAUGUCUUCAGGGAUGAUGGGGAACUUCCCGGCCGCCGCA
rnacentral:tRNA from 1 species